GACGAACGCUGGCGGCGUGCUUAACACAUGCAAGUCGAGCGGUAAGGCCCUUUCGGGGGUACGACGAGCGGCGAACGGGUGAGUAACACGUGGGUGACCUGCCCUCCAGCUCUGGGAUAAGCCUGGGAAACUGGGUCUAAUACUGGAUAUGACUCCACGGUGCAUGUCGUGGGGUGGAAAGCCUUGUGCGGCUGAGGAUGGGCCCGCGGCCUAUCAGCUUGUUGGG
rnacentral:rRNA from 1 species